rnacentral:rRNA from 1 species
UCUACCUUGGAGUGGGGAAUAACGGCUGGAAACAGCCGCUAAUACCGCAUGAUGCGUCUGGGCCGCAUGGCUCUGGGCGCCAAAGAUUCAUCGCUCUGAGAUGAGCUCGCGUCUGAUUAGCUAGUUGGCGGGGCAACGGCCCACCAAGGCGACGAUCAGUAGCCGGACUGAGAGGUUGGCCGGCCACAUUGGGACUGAGACACGGCCCAGACUCCUACGGGAGGCAGCAG